CUUGGUCAUUUAGAGGAAGUAAAAGUCGUAACAAGGUUUCCGUAGGUGAACCUGCGGAAGGAUCAUUACUGAGAACAUGCCCUUUGGGGUAUAUCUCCCACCCUUUGUUUACAAUACCUUUGUUGCUUUGGCGGGCCCGUCUUAUGACCACUGGCUAAUAUUAGCUGGUCCGUGCCUGCCAGAGGACCCCAAAACUCUUUUAUUAUGUUGUCUGAGUCUUAUAUAAUAGUUAAAACUUUCAACAACGGAUCUCUUGGUUCUGGCAUCGAUGAAGAACGCAGCGAAAUGCGAUAAGUAAUGUGAAUUGCAGAAUUCAGUGAAUCAUCGAAUCUUUGAACGCACAUUGCACCCUCUGGUAUUCCAGGGGGUAUGCCUGUUCGAGCGUCAUUACAACCCUCAAGCACUGCUUGGUAUUGGACGCUACCGUGUGGUGUGUCUCAAAAAUAUUGGCAGUGGCAUUCAGCUUCUAGUGUAGUACUUUUUCUCGCUUAGGAGUCUUUUGAGUGUCUUACUGCUAGAAUCCUCUAAUUCAUCACAAAGGUUGACCUCGGAUCAGGUAGGGAUACCCGCUGAACUUAAGCAUAUCAAUAAGCGGAGGA
rnacentral:rRNA from 1 species